rnacentral:rRNA from 1 species
CAAUAGCGUAUAUUAAUGUUGUUGCAGUUAAAAAGCUCGUAGUUGGAUUUCUGGUGGGAGCGGCCGGUCCGCCGUAAGGUGUGUACUUGGUUGUCUCCUGUCAUCCUUGUGGGAACUGCUCUGGUAUUAAGUUGUCGGGGUUAGGGAACACAUCGUUUACUGUGAAAAAAUUAGAGUGUUUAAAGCAGGCUUAUGCCGUUGAAUACAUUAGCAUGGAAUAAUAAGAUAGGACUUUGGCGUCUAUUUUGUUGGUUUGCACACCAAGGUAAUGAUUAAUAGGGAUAGUUGGGGGUAUUCGUAUUUAAUUGUCAGAGGUGAAAUUCUUGGAUUUAUGAAAGACGAACUUCUGCGAAAGCAUUUACCAAAGAUGUUUUCAUUAA